UUCAGCAAGAUGAUUUCCCAGUAGAUACACAUAUUUUUCAGAUUGCAAAGGCAAUUGGUUGGGUGCCCAUAGAGGCAGACACUAAGAGGACAUAUCUUCAUCUCAACACAAGGAUACCAAAUUUUGAGAAGAUGUAAUGAAAUGUUUUGUGGCACCUAUUCCAGGACAACAUUUUAUGGUUCCUGCUCCACCUCAGUUCAUUCAAGGCGGCRGUUCUGGACAAAAUGUCAGGUAAACAUCUGAUUAAGGUAUCCGUAGAUUGCARCAGGACUUAGAGCAGCAGUACUGCUACUUGAGUGGCGGGCUUGGAUCUAGCCUUGCAAGUUACUUGUUUUGCAUUCUAGAGGUGUUGUGGCACCUAUUCCAGGACAACAUUUUAUGGUUCCUGCUCCACCUCAGUUCAUUCAAGGCGACGGUUCUGGACAAAAUGUCGG